ensembl:lincRNA
AACAGUCCAUGUUAAGCACUCAAAGUCCUGAGUCUGGACCAUGCAGGUCAGUCCUGGGUACAGCUGGAUUCUCUCACCUGUUGGAAAGGAGAGGACUGCAGCGGGUGACGGCAGGCAGGAAGGGAACCUUCGGGAGCCUGUCAGUGAAUUGCUCUGAUGGUGCCAGAGGCCAACAGUGGGGACCAAGUGUCCCACAGGCAGAUCCCCAGCGCUGAGGAGGGAAGGAAUGAUGAGGCCCAGAGUAAAACAGGCCACCAGUGUUUGUUCCAAUAGCAAUAACACACGGAGAAAGCCCUCACACUGUGAUGGUGUUUGGUCUCUUUGAAGCUCUGAAAUCCAUGAAUUCCCCAGGGCAGGUGCUAUUAGCUUCCCUUUGGAAGAGAGGAUCAGUGAGCUUCCCAGGAAUCUGUGAGGUGGGGGCCCUCCCCACAUACCAGAAUCACUGAGGCCCGUCCCGAUGCACCCUGUCCUGCUGCACCCUGUCCUGCCCAUGCCCAUCCUGUGCUACCUUUGCCCUGGUGCCAGGAGAAACCUGUCCACCCAAAACAUGCGGAGGCGCCUGGCUGCCCUGCUUACCCUCCCCCCACCCCCCCAGGGCAGCCCAGUGGGCAGGACGGCCUGGCUGGCUCUGCUUGGAGACACUGAGUGUCACACAGCAACAGUAUCCCACCUUGGGCCUUUACCGCAGGUCCUCACCCUCCCACCCCUGCCAUGGCCUCCACUGGCCCAGGAGACGCUUCAGCCUCUUCCUGUCCUCCCCUCCCCUCUCCUUGAUCCUCCCCUCUACCCAGAAACAUUCCUCCUGCUCCACAAAGAAGAGCUCCUCUCUUCUCUGCUCUGUGGCUUUCUGGAAGGAAGCACCACCUCUCUCAGAAAAACAAAAAAAAUGGAAUAUUUAAAAAUAUGUUUAAAGGGAAAAAAAUGAACACAAAAGAUAAACUACAGAAAUCGAAGUCACAAACACGACACUUCAUCUCAUUCUGGAUCAAAAAAAAAAAGAAAAGAGAAGACAAGACAAGAAAAGAAAAGAAAAGAAAAGAAAAGAAAAGAAAAGAAAAGAAAAGAAAAGAAAUGGAAGCCAGGUAUUAUGCCAUGAUAACUAACUGGCCCUUCAUUCAUUCACCAAAUACUUACUGGGAACAUGCCGAUGCCAGAAAAAGUGCUAAGGACCAGUCCCACAGAAUGUACAAGUGACCGAGAAGUCCUCUUAGUCCUUGCAUUCAUAGUAUAGUCCAUUGGGAGCAAGAGACAUUAGAAGCAGGGAUGCAGGCAGACAAGAGAGCUUUGAGGAGGCCCACCAGGCCUGUCUGCAGGGGACUAAAGGAGGCCAGCAUGCCGAAGCACACCUAGCAAGAGGCUAUGGCAUGCGGCAGUGGCCACAGGGCUCAAUGUGGACCAGACCACAAGAGGCUUGCAGAGUACACAGCAAGCCGGCAGCCUGGGCUCCCUUCCCACUUGCCUAUAUUCCAUCCCGAAAGUAUCCUUUUCUGUGCGAUUUCCAUUCCUAGGCGAGCUCCCUGAGCUGGGCAGCACAUCUGAGAACUUGUGCCUGGGGCUUGGCACAGAUUCCACCAGGUCCUCCAUUAGAGUCACUGUUUCCUCUUCCCCCUGCUGAAAGGAGGUGAUCAUCCUAUUUUGUAGCAGGCAGUGGGUUACUUACUGUGUUAAACACCUCAUGUAUGC